CGUAGUCAACAACAAGGGUUGCUGGCAAGUGCAUGCCGUGAAGGUGAAAGUACUGGUAUCAGCCCACUGCGUUGCUGGAAGACAGCACAGACAGAUACUGAGAAAGAAAGGCUAGAGAAGAUUCAAACAGUUAAAAGGUAUGACUACAAAUCAACUUUUUCUGAAACCUCUUCUUUUCAAGUUUCCAGUGAGACAAACUUCAGGUGACGGAGAUAAUUCUCUUACCUCUCGGCAAGAUCUGAAUGGAACAGAGCUUGAUGCAGAGUGGCACUUCUGCAUCUUCUGUAACUGUUAGUAACUACAUCUUUGUCUACAUGGUAACGAGACCAUCUGUAAAAACAUGGAUGGGCAAUAAAGGAA